rnacentral:rRNA from 1 species
CUAUCUUCCUGAUACCCCCGCUAUUAAUAGUCCUCCCCGACUUUGUGUUUCCCGCAACGACUAAAAUCAACUUACGCCACUCCUCUUUCCUCCUCUCUCCUACCCCUCUCAUUCCUCACUUUCACCGUUCUGCCCCUCCUUCCCCCAAUUCUCAGCCUUACACUCUCCUCCUCCUUCCUCUUUUUUACCCUAUUUUCUUUUCUCUUUUCAUUUCCUCUCUUCUUUCCUACCUCUUUUUCCUCCACUGUUUACCCGGAUUCUCUCUCAUAUAAUCUCUUCCCUCUUUCUUCCUGUCUGCUCUUCUCUCCUUUCUCUUUCUUCUCUUCCUCUAUUCCUUCCUUCUUCCCCUUUCUUUCCCCUUCCCUCUCCCUCCCCCGUUCUUUCUCGGCCUGCUUCCUUUUUCGUUUCUCCCUUCCCCUUUUUUGUACUCUUUUUCUUUUUCUCCCCUUCUUUUUCUCUCCUUGUUUUUUCUUCUUCGCUCCCCUCUCCCUCCCCUCAUUUCUUUCUACUCUUCUUCUUCCUUUUUGUUUUUUUUUUUCCUUUUACCCCUUCUCUCUCCUCUCCUCUUUCUCUCCUCUCUCCCUCCUUCCUUUACCUCUUCUUUUCUUUUUCGGGGUGUUUGUGUUUUUCUUUCUAUUUCUUGCCCCGCCCGCCACUCUCUUUCCCCUACAUCCUCUGUUCCUAUAUCCUGGCUUAUCUGAGCUCCGUCACUCUUUGCUUCGUUUUGUACAUCCUGCCCGUCACACCACUAAAGUCUGUAUCACUCCAAAGUCGGUGGGGUAACCGUAAGGAGCCAGCCGCCUAAGGUGGGACAGAUGAUUGGGGUGAAGUCGUAACAAGGUAAGUCA